UACGUAGGGUGCAAGCGUUGUCCGGAAUUAUUGGGCGUAAAGAGCUCGUAGGCGGUUUGUCGCGUCGGCUGUGAAAACCUGGGGCUCAACCCCGGGCCUGCAGCCGAUACGGGCAGACUAGAAUUCGGUAGGGGAGUCCGGAAUUCCUGGUGUAGCGGUGAAAUGCGCAGAUAUCAGGAGGAACACCGGUGGCGAAGGCGGGACUCUGGGCCGAUAUUGACGCUGAGGAGCGAAAGCGUGGGGAGCAAACAGG
rnacentral:rRNA from 1 species